rnacentral:rRNA from 1 species
GAUGAACGCUGGCGGCGUGCCUAAUACACGCAAGUCGAGCGAACGGACGAGAAGCUUGCUUCUCUGAUGUUAGCGGCGGACGGGUGAGUAACACGUGGAUAACCUACCUAUAAGACUGGGAUAACUUCGGGAAACCGGAGCUAAUACCGGAUAAUAUUUUGAACCGCAUGGUUCAAAAGUGAAAGACGGUCUUGCUGUCACUUAUAGAUGGAUCCGCGCUGCAUUAGCUAGUUGGUAAGGUAACGGCUUACCAAGGCAACGAUGCAUAGCCGACCUGAGAGGGUGAUCGGCCACACUGGAACUGAGACACGGUCCAGACUCCUACGGGAGGCAGCAGUAGGGAAUCUUCCGCAAUGGGCGAAAGCCUGACGGAGCAACGCCGCGUGAGUGAUGAAGGUCUUCGGAUCGUAAAACUCUGUUAUUAGGGAAGAACAUAUGUGUAAGUAACUGUGCACAUCUUGACGGUACCUAAUCAGAAAGCCACGGCUAACUACGUGCCAGCAGCCGCGGUAAUACGUAGGUGGCAAGCGUUAUCCGGAAUUAUUGGGCGUAAAGCGCGCGUAGGCGGUUUUUUAAGUCUGAUGUGAAAGCCCACGGCUCAACCGUGGAGGGUCAUUGGAAACUGGAAAACUUGAGUGCAGAAGAGGAAAGUGGAAUUCCAUGUGUAGCGGUGAAAUGCGCAGAGAUAUGGAGGAACACCAGUGGCGAAGGCGACUUUCUGGUCUGUAACUGACGCUGAUGUGCGAAAGCGUGGGGAUCAAACAGGAUUAGAUACCCUGGUAGUCCACGCCGUAAACGAUGAGUGCUAAGUGUUAGGGGGUUUCCGCCCCUUAGUGCUGCAGCUAACGCAUUAAGCACUCCGCCUGGGGAGUACGACCGCAAGGUUGAAACUCAAAGGAAUUGACGGGGACCCGCACAAGCGGUGGAGCAUGUGGUUUAAUUCGAGGCAACGCGAAGAACCUUACCAAAUCUUGACAUCCUUUGACAACUCUAGAGAUAGAGCCUUCCCCUUCGGGGGACAAAGUGACAGGUGGUGCAUGGUUGUCGUCAGCUCGUGUCGUGAGAUGUUGGGUUAAGUCCCGCAACGAGCGCAACCCUUAAGCUUAGUUGCCAUCAUUAAGUUGGGCACUCUAAGUUGACUGCCGGUGACAAACCGGAGGAAGGUGGGGAUGACGUCAAAUCAUCAUGCCCCUUAUGAUUUGGGCUACACACGUGCUACAAUGGACAAUACAAAGGGCAGCGAAACCGCGAGGUCAAGCAAAUCCCAUAAAGUUGUUCUCAGUUCGGAUUGUAGUCUGCAACUCGACUACAUGAAGCUGGAAUCGCUAGUAAUCGUAGAUCAGCAUGCUACGGUGAAUACGUUCCCGGGUCU